rnacentral:rRNA from 1 species
UACGUAGGGGGCAAGCGUUGUCCGGAAUCAUUGGGCGUAAAGAGCGUGUAGGCGGCCAGAUAAGUCCGCUGUGAAAUCUCGAGGCUCAACUUCGAGCUGUCGGUGGAAACUGUCUGGCUAGAGUCCGGAAGAGGAGAAUGGAAUUCCUGGUGUAGCGGUGAAAUGCGCAGAUAUCGGAAGGAACACCGGUGGCGAAAGCGGCGCGCUGGACCUCUUCUGACGCUGAGGCGCGAAAGCCAGGGGAGCAAACGGG